rnacentral:rRNA from 1 species
CCUACGGGAGGCAGCAGUAGGGAAUAUUUCUCAAUGGGCGAAACCCUGAAGCAGCAACGCCGCGUGCAGGAUGAAGGUUUUCGGAUUGUAAACUCCUUUUGUUAGAGAAGAUAAUGACGGUAUCUUACGAAUAAGCACCGGCUAACACGGUGCCAGCAUCCGCGGUAAUACGGAGUGUGCGAGCUUUACUCGGAAUCACUGGGCGUAGAGAGCGCGUCGGAGGGAGAGCAAUACAGAUGUGGAAUCCUAGGGCUUAACCAUAGAACUGUAUUUGAAACUGUUAUUAUAGAGUAUGUGAGAGGUAGGUGGAAUUCUUGGUGUAGGAGUAAAAGCCGGAGAGAUCAGGAGGAAUACUCAGUGCGAAGG